rnacentral:rRNA from 1 species
AACGAACGCUGGCGGCAUGCCUAACACAUGCAAGUCGAACGAUCCCUUCGGGGAUAGUGGCGCACGGGUGCGUAACGCGUGGGAACCUGCCCUUAGGUUCGGAAUAACCCAGAGAAAUUUGAGCUAAUACCGGAUAAUGUCUUCGGACCAAAGAUUUAUCGCCUUUGGAUGGGCCCGCGUUUGAUUAGCUAGUUGGUGGGGUACAGGCCUACCAAGGCGACGAUCCAUAGCUGGUCUGAGAGGAUGAUCAGCCACACUGGGACUGAGACACGGCCCAGACUCCUACGGGAGGAAGCAGUGGGGAAUAUUGGACAAUGGGCGAAAGCCUGAGCCAGCAAUGGCGCGUGAGUGAUGAAGGCCUUAGGGUUGUAAAGCUCUUUUACCCGGGAUGAUAAUGACCGUACCGGGAGAAUAAGCCCCGGCUAACUCCGUG